AGCGAACGCUGGCGGCAGGCUUAACACAUGCAAGUCGAACGGGCGUAGCAAUACGUCAGUGGCAGACGGGUGAGUAACGCGUGGGAACGUACCUUUUGGUUCGGAACAACCCAGGGAAACUUGGGCUAAUACCGGAUAAGCCCUUACGGGGAAAGAUUUAUCGCCGAAAGAUCGGCCCGCGUCUGAUUAGCUAGUUGGUGAGGUAACGGCUCACCAAGGCGACGAUCAGUAGCUGGUCUGAGAGGANGAUCAGCCACAUUGGGACUGAGACACGGCCCAAACUCCUACGGGAGGCAGCAGUGGGGAAUAUUGGACAAUGGGCGCAAGCCUGAUCCAGCCAUGCCGCGUGAGUGAUGAAGGCCCUAGGGUUGUAAAGCUCUUUUGUGCGGGAAGAUAAUGACGGUACCGCAAGAAUAAGCCCCGGCUAACUUCGUGCCAGCCGCCGCCGUAAC
rnacentral:rRNA from 1 species